ACACUCUCUCUCCCUUUCCAUUAAACUGGUUCCCUUUCUCUCUCUUACCCUCUCCACUCUCGAUCUUUCUUAUCUACCCUCUACCACUCUCGAUAUCUCUCGCUGCUCUCUCGCUGGCUGCUCUGCUCCGGUGCUAGAUUCGCGCAAUUUGGAGCGCCAUAGCCCUAGAAUCUAUGGUUCUAUGGUUCAAUUCACUGCUCGUGCUGAACUUUAGGUUUCUCUCACUCAACAACCAUCCUCUCUUUUUACUCCGAUCCUCUUACUCAACCACCAUUUUCUUUCUCGCUCGUCUCAUUCAAUACGACAAAUUUGGAUUGUUAAUCGAAACCGGAGCCAAGCAACACAACUGCCAACAACCCUAGCAACCAUCGCCAGGAAGCUGCUACGAUGGUUCUUGUAUAUGAUACAGCUGAGUAAUUUUCGUCUCUUUCUAUUGGUAGAUUGAAAUUUCAUUUAUCAUGUUUCGUUUCACCGGCUUAGGGUUAAGAUUGCAUUUCUAAGUGUUAAUUUUCCUCGAAUUUUAUACUAAUUAGGAUUAAGACUGCAUUUCUGGGUUAAGAUUGCAUUUCUGGGUUAAAAUUAAGGAUAUAAGAUUGCGUAUAUACUCUGAACUGUCUGUAUAUUGUAAAUUUCGCUUCCUUCUCCGUCAUAAUCAUGCUGAAUUUGUUUGGUAAGAUUUCUAGGUUUCAAAGCAAACUGUUAUAGCUAUCAAGUCUUAUCAGAAUCAGGUUGAAAACAUGGUGAAGAAUCUUUUGUUGUCUGAUUAUGUAAUUCCUUACACUUCAUUUAUUACUGGCAUAUUAGUCUGCAAAGUGGUAUAUUUUUAGAAAUCAUUUUAUUCCUUUUUACUUUACUUUUUAUGACAAUUCAUGUGAACUGACCUCAAAUCGUAUUGUGUGGCUCUUAGUUUUUUCUAUUUUGUGACAAUUAUACUACUGGUACUCAUUGUAGAAUUGUAUCAUUAUAUAUAUUUUGCUAUGUCAUAAAUUUCACAGACACAUGAGUUCUGCCUUUGGAUAUGAUGUGCUUGAUAAGUGAAAGUUGGUGUUUAUUACAUGGUACAUAUACCUAAGAUUGGUUUUAUUGGUUUUGUUCAUUGGCUUUGCUAAUGAAUUUCUUUGGAUGCCUCUUAGUUUUCAUGCCAGUUAUGGAUUCUCAACUAUUCUUUUUAUUCACGGAUGUGUUUGAAGUUUUGAACAUGUGAUUAACAGGACACAUAGCAGUGGUGAUUUCAAAGCUCUUUGUUUGAGAUAUAUAGAUUGCUUUUGGUCAUGAAUUUGAAUUCACUACAGUUUCUGUUUAGUACACAUGGGCCGCGGCGAGCAUCCCAAGAUGGGGAAACUUAAGAAGCGUAUCUAUCCAAGUGAUGACAUUGUUAUAAAUAUAUGGAAGGAUGCUCCGAUUCUAAAAUGUCCUAUCCCUGGUCAGAGGUGCUGGUUUAAUAUUUUGAUUACAUGUCCAAAUAUAAUAGAAUGCUUCCCAUUUGUUCUCAUUUUUUCGUUGAUUUUUAGAAUAUGCGUUUAAGAAGUUUCAUCUUUGUUGCCAGCUGGAAAGAAAUAAGGUGUCACAAGUUUCGGGGUAAUUUCUUUUGGCUGUGUUUUUAAGUCCUGUUUGUAGGCACCAGUAGAUUGGUGAUGUUUUGCAUAUCCUUGUUGUUCUUUCUACAUAAGUGAGGCCAUACAAUUUAGGGAUCUGUUUUUUUUUAAUUUUUAUUUCUACCAAAGUGACUUUUCACUAUGAUGCUGCAAAAUGGUCAAUUUAGCUCUUUGUUAUGUUCAAUGUAUUGAUGAGCUACUAUAUGUUUAAUGCAGAUGAAAGUUUCAUCUUCUUUAUUUAUUUCUUCUAUACUCCUUCAUGUUUCUCUUGUGGUUAUUAUUGGAUGAGGUAUAUCUGCUGUCAUUGUGGUUUAAAAUGUAAUUCUUAGAAAUUGUUCGUUCAUGGGAUAUAUUUGUCUUUUUGACAUGUAUAGCAUGACAAUAUGGUCGAGCUUAUAGAGUAGCUAGCACUUGCUGAUGAUGCUUUUCAUAGAUGAACAUGAACCAUGUAUGCGCUCUAUGCUUCAAUGUUAGUGGGCUAACUUGUUGAUUGUACUUGUGGUUGUUUUGACUCAUCCCUAAGAGGGUAUUUGUAGCCAUUCUUACUCAAUUCUUGAUUGCCAGGUCAACCAAGGAGGCAUUUGCUUCAAAGUGGUUGGAGUGUAUUUAUUAGCUCAAAAAGACUUGUAGCUGGUGAUGCAUUUAUUUUUCUCAGUACAUGGAGUGAUGGGAGUCUGUGAAGAAUCAAUAUUCCAUUUGGAUGCGUUUUAAGAUGAGAUUUGAAGGGGAAGAGGUUCCAGAGUCCUCUGUUCUUACAAGAGAAGUGAGCAAGAUUAAAAAAAUGCCAUGUUCCCAAUCACUUUCUCAAGACGCUCAAACGAGAGUACAAGCCACAAGGUGGUUCCUUUAGGAGCUAUACUAAGGUGCAAAAGCAAGGAAUGUCCCUCGGUAGGUAAGUGGACCUCUCAAAGUUUAGUGAUUAUGAUAAGUUGGUUGAAGAAUUGGAUCACUUGUUCAAUUUCAAUGGUGAACUCAAGAUCCCUGAGAAGAAUUCACUCACUGUCUACACUAACGACGAGGGUGAUAUGAUGCUGGUUGGAGAUGACGUGUGGUAGUAUGUGUUGCAUAUUUACGGUAUUCACCUACAUAGCUUCAUAAAGUUGAUAAGUUGACUUUAGGUUCACUUAUUCGCAUUUAGUUUAGGUCAUUUAGAUUCAUUUUAGGCCAUAUAGUAUCCUUUUUCUUCCCCUUUUCCAUCAUUUCUCAUAUUCUCAUGCUUAGCAUUUACUUUUAGUUCAUUUGCAUAUUGUUAGGUUGCAUAUAGGUCACUUCAUUUGCAUGUGCAUUCCCCCCUCCCCAUCUAAUAUUUUCUUGGAGUGUUUUGAAGCUAAGAUAAGAAAGGAAGAGGCUCCACGUAACGCCCCGACAAAUUUACAUGACCUUAAUCGUCAGCGGAAGCAUAACCUAAUCCUGUGGGUUAUGGCCCACAAAUAAAAUAAUAGCCUAAAAUUGAAAAUUCACUAUACAAUUACUCAUCGUAAAAUAAUGCUUGUUUAUCCAUCAUACAAAAUAUCCUAAAACCUCAUAGAAUCAUAAGAAAUCUCCAUAAUGCAGUAUAAUAGUGAUCCACAACUGUUCUUCCAUACCUAAAACAUAAAAAAAAAAACGUCGUGAGCCGAGGCUCAGUAACAUACUACUCUAACAUCGUUAAUUCAUUUCAACUCACUUUAUUUGAAAACAGGAAGAAGAGAAUAUCGCAAACAACAUUUCAUAAACAUAUAACUUGAUAUUGGAAAUCCAACCAUUUUGAGAUAUUAUCCUUUAUAAUCUUACAUCAUUUUUAAUGGUAACUUGGCAAGUACAACAUCAUAACAUCACAAUCAUUAAACCGAAAGGCGGCCACAACAAAGGUGACACUUGCGGUGCCCAUAACAUAAAUCCGAAAGGCGGUCACAACAAAGGUGACACUUGCAGUGCCCAUAACAUUCGAAAGGCGGUCACAACAAAGGUGACACUUGCGGUGCCCAUAUCCGAAAGGCUGUCACAACAAAGGUGACACUUGCGGUGCCCAUAAAGUACUGCCAAGAACCGUCUUUCACUUUCAUUUAUCAUGUUUUGUUAUGUUUAUAUUUAUGUGAUAAAACAUCUCUUAAGCAUCAUGAAAACCAAUUUAUCAUCCUAAACAUCAUUUAGCAAAACAUUUCAUAUCCCACAAUCCAUAAACACAUAUCAUCAAAAUAUUACGUAAAAGCGUCAUAAAACGUAGUUGGAAGGGGAGUGCGGGUAUUAGCAGUAGACGUUACCUGAAUUCCUGCUUAAUAACCUUGAUAGCCGGGGGAGGCUUGUAAUAUCCUUUAUCUUCCUUAAUCUAUUCAAGAAUAGUUUUAUUAAUGAAUGUUUCGGUAUUUAGCUUUUAAGCCUAUAUACUAGUUAGUGCUUAUUAAGGUCAUAGCGGACAUUAUAACGUCGUAAAGGUCUCCUUAAAGGUCAUUAUUUCUUAAUCGUUAAUAACUUUUUAAUUAAGGUGACUCUUUAACAACUAAUUAAUGAAAUAAAUCAUUUAGCUAUACUUUUAGAAAUUAAUGAAACAUUUAAAGUUAUAUUACUACAUAUUAUAUAACAUUUCAAAAACAUAUCAUUAUUCUAGUUCAUAAAUAAUAACUAAUUAGUCGUCCAUUAAUAAAUUAAUUAAGUUUAAAGUUAUAAUAGCUCCAUUAACAUUAUUAUAAUAUUAUUUAAUCAUUUAAAAACUAAUAAGUCGAGUAAUUAGUGAUUAUAAGUAAACUUAAGGAUUAGUGAAGUUCUCAUAACUUAAACUCAAUUAUAAACUUAAUGAAUUUACAGCUCAACUAGUUUAGAAAUCAUGAAUUAUAACCCAAUAAUAGAUUUUAGUAAAUAAGUUAGGUGGUUUAAUAAAACUAACUAAAUCAGUCCACUAAAGCUUAAUAUAUUAAAGCAACAAGAUUAACUUAAAUGACUUAGCUAAGUAAAUCAGAUUAUAAGCCCAACAUUAUACUUAACUUAAUAAAUUAAACUAACAUGACUUAAUGAAAUACUAAAUCAGCUUUAGUUUAACUCAAUAUGGCCCAACAAUAAUAUAAUUCAGAUUUAAAACUUAAGCUUGCUUCUGAGUCCAAAGUUCUAGGCCCAAAUGAAUUAAUAAAGGUUAAGGAUUAUAGACUUGGGCUUGCAUUAUAAACUGAGGAAAUCAGAAAUUUAAAAGGAGAAAAGGACGUCACCUCUGCUACUAGGAGCAGGGAGAACGACGAUCGUGCCUGAGGAACGAACGCCGGCUUCGGUGGUCGGCGGCGAGCAGUGGCGGUCUGCGUCAGCAACGUCAGUCUCCGGCGGCGGCGAAAGGCAGCAGCAGCGGCACGUACGAAGAAGAAGAGGGGCGAGAGAGACAGCGCGAGGAGAGAGAGAGAGCGCGCGAGGAGGAGGAGAGAGAGUGCGAACGUGAGGGUGCUGACGCGGAUCUCCGGCGGCGGCUAAUGACCGGCGAGUGACGAGGUGGGGGCGGGACUGUGCGCGGCGCAUGUGGCGCGCGCGGUGGCCAACGGUGGUCGGUUGUGGGGGUCAACACAGAGGGGAGAGAGAGAAGAAAUUUGGGAUUUUCCUUUGGGUUUCUUUUUGUUGCAAUUUUUCCGGCGAUUAUUGACUGAAUUUGUGUUUAGAGAGAGAAGAGAGGAUGAAGGUUAUUGUUGGUGGGUUCUUGAUGUUGAAUCUCCAUGGCUAUUUAUAGUGGAGUUUGGAGGUUUAAAAUCAGUGGUUGGGAGGAAGAUGGUGAAGUAACUAAUCUGAUUUUGUUAACUUGAAGAAGCUUUGGAUGAGGAUUGGUGACAGAUUUGACUGAAGAAGGAGAAGAAAGUUGUGAUUGCAUGAGUGACAAAUGGACAUGGUGGAGUGAGGAAGAAGACACCAUUAAUCGGGGGGGGGGGGAAUUGACCAUAGCUUUGUUUUCUCUUUUCUCUUUUUAUUUUGCAAUCCAAAAAUCAGAAAUUUUUCCAUACUAACACUCCUAAACGUGACUUAAUGAAAUUUUGGGUGAAAUGUUGACAUUUUGUACUUUAAGUGAAUUAUCAACUAUAUUAGCCUUCUUGUUUAACUCAUGAAAUCGUAAAUUAUAAAUUAUCGUCACUAAUAUAUUAAUAUUUUUAAGCGGGCACUCCUGAGGAAGAGGAGCGGGUGCUCCAUAUUACGCGAAGAAACAAAGGCAAAUGGCAGUAGCUUGGAGCGGCCAAGGAGCGUUCCCGGAGCGGGCGCUCCAUGUUGGUAGGAGCGGGGGCUCCGUCGUCCAGAUUUCCUAUUUUUGGCAGUAGCUUGGAGCGGCCUAGGAGCGAUCCAAGAGUGGGCGCUCCAAGCCUGGAGCAGGCGCUCCAUGUUGGUAGGAGCGAGCGCUCCAUCGUCCAGAUUUUCCAAUUUUUUGUUCCGUCUUUUACAACUUUGCCCUUAUUUCUACGGGGUAUAAAACCAAUUUUGUAAUAAUCCUAAUACUAAGCUUUUAAUUUCGGAAUUAAUUAGUUCUAAUUAGAGAGAGAGAUAGAGAAGUAGAACUUAGAGAGAGAAACUAUAUCUAAGCUUUUUAAUGUGGGUUAUUGAAGCUAUUUCAAUGGAGUUUUGCAUUUGAUUUUCAUCCAUCUUUGAGUAUUUCUUCUAUCUCUUCUCUUUAUUAACUUUUUUAUUUGAUUUACCUUGUUUGAGUAUUGAUUAGUUAGUAAUGAGUUGAUGAUUAGCUUAUUAGUUAUUAUUUUCAUCAUUGUUGCUUCACCAUUGUUGCUUCAGCCUUUUUAUUUAUUCCUUUCCAUGGCUAGUGAGUAGAUUAGUAGCUAGGGGAAGGGGAUGACCUUGCUAAUCAUGUUUUGGCCUUGAAAGUUAAGCUUGGGGUGUGAUUUGGGUGAGAUUGUGUUGUCUAGCUAAUUUGAUUGCCUUGUUUAUUUGAUUGAUCAUCAUUUGAACUUGUUGUGGAAAUCUAAGGUGAAGGAUUGAGAAAUGAAACCUUAGGUAGAACUUUAGCUAGAUUUUAGGUUGGCUUCACCAUGAAAAUAGGUGAUUGACUCCUUAGGACCUUAUUUGGUCACUAUGAGUUGUGGAAAUGCUUGAUUAAUUGAUUUUACCAUGAGAAUAGGUAAAAUUGGUUGAUUAAGUCCUCUUAAUUAGCUCGAGAGAGUAAUUAGGAAACAUUUGAGUGACUUAGCCCCCUAAUCAACCCUAAUGAAUCCCCUUGGCUUGACAAUCUGGUUAAUUAUCUGGUAGCUCGUGAAUCCCCUACCCUAGUGUCCUCUUAAUAUAGUUUAAUUCAAAUCAUUUAGUCUAUUUGUUAGUUUCUUAGUUCCUAAUUUCUUAGUUGUUCACUAAUCUCAAAAACCCCCAAAAAUAGUCUUAGUUCGCUAAAUCGCAUUCAACCCUUAAUUAAUCUUUGUUUCCUCGUGGAUGGGAAAAGGAGGGAUAAAAAAAAAUUCACGUGACCGAGCUGGAGCGCCCGCUCCAGCUAAAAGGGAGCGCCCGCUCCAGCUAAAAGGGAGCGCCCGCUCCAGCUAAAAGGGAGCGCCCGCUCAAGCCUUGGAGCGCCCGGUCCUUGAGCGCUCCCCACACGCUCCAACUCUCUGCCUUCCUUCUUUCUUUUUGCGGGGGGAUGGAGCGCCCGCUCUAGUUUUAGAGGAGCGCCCCCCUUUGGGCUCCUUUGGCUCGCUCCUCCCUCUCUUCUUCAACACUUAGCCAUUUUUUAUCAUCUUUUUCACUCCUCUUUCAAUAUUUCUCAUGACAAACCUCUUAUUCACUCCUCUUUUUUUUUUUCAAAGCUUAGAACCCGGGUUGCCUCCCGUAAGCGCUUCUUUAAAGUCAUUAGCUUGACUUCCCUACGAUUAAAAUUCUCAUAGGGGAAGGGGGUAGUCAUCCAAAGCAAUGUGACAAAUGUGCUCAAUUUGGGUUCCAUCUGGUAUACCUUGAGUCUUUCCCAUUUACUUUGAACGUCCCUUUUUCUUCCUCCACACUUCCACCGCUCCAUGCGGGAACACCGUUUUUACUUCAAACGGUC